rnacentral:rRNA from 1 species
UGCAAGUCGAGCGCGGGAAGCCGGCGGACUCCUUCGGGAGGAAACCGGUGGAACGAGCGGCGGACGGGUGAGUAACACGUGGGCAACCUGCCGGACUGAUGGGAAUAACCCCGGGAAACCGGGGCUAAUGCCCAAUACGCCCUGACCUCGCCUGAGGUCAGCGGUAAAGCAGGGAUCUUCGGAUCCUUGCACAGUCCGAUGGGCCCGCGGCGCAUUAGCUAGUUGGAGAGGUAAGGGCUCCCCAAGGCGACGAUGCGUAGCCGACCUGAGAGGGUGAUCGGCCACACUGGGACUGAGACACGGCCCAGACUCCUACGGGAGGCAGCAGUAGGGAAUCAUCCGCAAUGGGCGAAAGCCUGACGGUGCAACGCCGCGUGAGUGAUGAAGGUUUUCGGAUCGUAAAGCUCUGUUGACAGGGAAGAACCCACGUCAGUCGAACAGGCUGGCGUGCUGACGGUACCUGUCCAGAAAGCCCCGGCUAACUACGUGCCAGCAGCCGCGGUAAUACGUAGGGGGCAAGCGUUGUCCGGAAUUAUUGGGCGUAAAGGGCACGCAGGCGGUUUCGUCAGUCCGAUGUGACAGGCCACGGCUCAACCGUGGAAGGCCAUUGGAAACUGCGAAACUUGAGGACAGAAGAGGAGAGUGGAAUUCCACGUGUAGCGGUGAAAUGCGUAGAUAUGUGGAGGAACACCAGUGGCGAAGGCGACUCUCUGGUCUGUACCUGACGCUGAGGUGCGAAAGCAUGGGGAGCAAACAGGAUUAGAUACCCUGGUAGUCCAUGCCGUAAACGCUGAGUGCUAGGUGUUAGGGGUUUCGAUACCCGUAGUGCCGAAGCUAACGCAUUAAGCACUCCGCCUGGGGAGUACGACCGCAAGGUUGAAACUCAAAGGAAUUGACGGGGGCCCGCACAAGCGGUGGAGCAUGUGGUUUAAUUCGACGCACCGCGAAGAACCUUACCAGAUCUUGACAUCUUCCGCUACG